ensembl:lncRNA
AUGCCGCCAAAACACUGUUCACAUCGACUGAUUUCUAGUCUGGAUGUAGUCUGCAACGUCGAAGGUGUACCUCUACUUGUGAAUGCCAAAGUAUCGAUAACAUUGACUGUUUGUGGUCAUGUCUUCUGCAUCGGAGGUGUACUGGAGUCUUUUCCUGUGAUUGCGGUCGUAGCGAUGCUAACAACAGGAGAUUUCUCCAAGCAAAAACUGAAUCCUGACUAUGAGCGCCAGAAUCAUCAUACAGCCAGCUGUCCAUUUUACAGAAAUGCAGAAUUAGGUUUCUUUGAUGAAUAG